rnacentral:rRNA from 1 species
UACGUAGGCAGCAAGCGUUGUUCGGAGUUACUGGGCGUAAAGGGUGUGUAGGCGGUUCUUUAAGUUUGGUGUGAAAUCUCCCGGCUCAACUGGGAGGGUGCGCCGAAUACUGAGGGACUAGAGUACGGGAGAGGAAAGUGGAAUUCCUGGUGUAGCGGUGAAAUGCGUAGAUAUCAAGAGGAACACCUGAGGUGAAGACGGGUUGCUGGGCCGACACUGACGCUGAGGCGCGAAAGCCAGGGGAGCAAACGGG